ensembl:lncRNA
GAUACUUUUAUGGUGUGUGGAGCAUACGAACGUGAUCAAAUCUGAGUGAGAGACUGACUGAGGAUCAAAUACACGAUGACAUGCCACGGUGACAUAUGUGUCUUCUUCUGUGAAAACGCACACCUGCACUAGACAUUACCGAAGAAUGAAGUGUCCUCAGUGCAGUUAUGUGUCUUUGGAAAAGGCACCAAACUUCUGCAGUCGGUGUGGCUGUAAGCUGUCAUGUCAAUCAAUUGAGACAACAGCAGACAAGCCACAAGACAAGUUUCAAACAUCCUCAAACAUUCCACACAGUACUGAUGCAGAAAUGACUGAUAUCAGACGUGAAUCAGAAGCAUUGGACUACCAGAAUGCCAAUCUAUCUCCAAAACGACAAAAUGAAGAUAAAAUCCCUAUCCCAAAGAAAAAGAAAAGAAAGAAGAAGAAAAAAGCAGGUGGUGCAGAGGGCCCUUCAUCUCUGACCUCAGAUCUCUCUGAUAUAUCGCUGACUGAAAAAGAAAAGAAAAUGGAGGAAGACCAAUCUUCUGACAGUGAUGGCUCUUACUGCACUGUAGAUGACAUGCCUAAACCGGCUGAAUCAUCCUCUCAUCUGAGCCUACCAGAAACUGAAACUGCUGAGCUAAAACAGCAUGCUGUCUCGGCUUUACCCAUAGAUGCUGCUUUAAGUCAGUCUGAUGAGCAGCCUAAUAGUAGCAAAGAGAGAUGUGUAGCACCUGAAACGACAGAAACAUCUAAGUUGCAGUUGACCCAAGAGCUGAUCAGCAUUAGCACUGACAAAGCUUCUCCAGCAGUGACCAUGGAAGUAAAUCAGAAAGAUGAAGAAGAUAAAGAAAAAUCUGAAAAUAAAGGACAAAAGAGUGUGUCUAAAAGAAAACAAACUACUCUAGAUCGAGAUGGUGAUAUGGACCGGAAUGCAAACAUAAAGAGCAGCACAGGAAAUCAAAGAGAGACCGAUGAUCAUGUUGUGGGAGCACUGAACAACCACAGCUCCAGUGGAGAUUUACCAGUGAAGGUUGAGCAGAGUCAGAAGCUGCAGUCUGCAUGUACCGGCCAGAAGAAUACAGCAUCUGAAAAACAAAAUAAAAGUGAGGAAGCAGAAACCAGUGAAGGCAAACAGCAUGUCUCAUUUCCUACAACGAAAAAAAAUCAAAAUCAGAAACCGCAGAAUUCAACACAGGACAUGGUGUUUGGCCCACAGAAUAAACCUAAGAAGAAUCACGAUUCCAGUGGCGAUUCUUCAGUGAAGGUUGAACACAGUCAGAAGCCGCAGUCUGCUUGUACAGGCCAGAAGAAUACAGCAUCUGAGAAACAAAAUAAAAGUGAGGAAGCAGAAGCCGGUGAAGGCAAACAGCAUGUCUCAUUUCCUACAACGAAAAAAAAUCAAAAUCAGAAACCGCAGAAUUCAACACAGG